rnacentral:lncRNA from 1 species
CGGGGCCUCACACGACAGCUUGGUCCACUAAUCGCAAAAGCAAUUUAUUUUAUUUUCUUAAACAAACAAAGAAAAAUAUAUAGAAAUUUGGUAAAUAUAUAACAUACAAAUAUGAAUUGAUUAAAAAUUAAGUUUGUUUUAUUCUUAAUAACUUCGCUGGCACAUGGCAUUAAAUUUCACGCGGGAAGUGGCCUAUUUGAGGCCUACUCGAUUAUUUAGUUAGCAUUUAGGCACAAAGACACAAAUGUAUAUCAUAGUCGGAUAAAUGUUGAAGUAAGAAGAUGAAGUUACCAAAAAAUAACGCUUUCUUCAGUUUCACUGUGGAAAGACCGCGAAGGUGUUUUUAAGGUCCCGCGUCACGGAGUGUGUCGGCACAGCGGUUAGACCGGACAACUGCUUUUUAAAAGCACUGAUAAGAGGCACCCUGAUGCUGAACAUUGCAAAUUGGAAGUGAAGAUUGCCUUCCUGUAGACUUUAUCUUAAAGCAGUAAAACAAGAAGCUGUGACUACAACUGCAGUGAAGUAUACACUGCGUGGUUUCUGUGGAUGGCCUGAGUGUCUUCAGCUGCGGCAGAAUCCUCUGAGGAACUGGCCUGACUCAUCUGCGUCUGUGACAGGUCAUGUCCAUGAGCAGGAGUGGAUAACCCAAAGCGCCCAAACCGGCUCACUAACACUCAAAUCCAUGUUUAAAGAUGCUGUCAGGAAAGGAAACGCAUGGAAAAGUUGCUACCAGACUGGCAUUGUUUCUGGAGCUUAUGAUGCAGACAGACGGGACGGUUGCCCUCAGACCAAAGGAGACGUUGACCUAGAGGGAGAUCGGCAGCGAGCGGCAUGAAAGUUACAGCCCUCAUGUGGGACAAACAGCAGAGAAGGGCUUCACACCAGGCAACACAUGCAAAAUUGACAAGAGGAUGUGGGGAAAAAAGGGGUUGGACGAGGAUGAAUAAAACAAAUCAUGGUGCUUGACUGGAGGUGAUUUGAAAUAUUCUUUGUCUUCAUUUACGCUUGAGAAUAAUAUAACAUCCCGACAGGAGACCGGGCUAGGGGCUCCAGUCGCACGCAGGGGAUAAAAAAUUAAUUAAAAGAUGAGAGAA